rnacentral:lncRNA from 1 species
AACCUACACCACAGCUCACGGCAACGCCGGAUCGUUAACCCACUGGGCAAGGGCAGGGAUCAAACCCGCAACCUCAUGGUUCCUAGUCGGAUUCGUUAACCACUGCGCCACGACGGGAACUCCUGUCUUUCUUUCUGGCUUACUUCACUUAGCAUGAGAACCUCUAGUUGCAUCUGUGUUGCUGCAAAUGCCAUUAUUUUGUUCUUCUUUAUGGCUGAGUAAUAUUCCAUUGUAUAUAUAUGCCACAUCUUUUAAUCCAUUCAUCUCUUGAUGGGUAUUUAGGUUGUUUCCAUGUCUUGGCUGACAUCGCUUACAUGUGGAAUCUAAAAUACAGCACAAAUAAACCUAUCUACAAAACAGAAACAGACUCACAUACAUAGAGAACAGAUUUGUGGUUGCCAGGGGGAUGGAGGAGGGAGUAGGAUGGACAGGAAGUUUGGGGUUAGUAGAUGCAAACUAUUAGAUUUACAAUGGAUAAGCAAUGAGGUUGUACUGGACAGCACAGGGAACUAAAUCCAAUCUCUUGGGAGAAGACAGUAACGAAAAAGAAUGUGUAGGUGUGUGUGAGAGAGAGAGAGACUGGGUCACUACGCUAUGCAACGGAAAUUGGUCUGAUACUGUACAUCAACUAUACUUUAAUUUAAAAAAUGAAGACAUGUUCCUAAGCACGAAUAAUAACCCAUUAGGUAAUAUGAUAAAAAAUAUUCCAUUCAAAACAAACACCAGAAGAUAUCUAAGAACAGAUCUCACAAAAGAUAAACAAGCAGGGAAUGAACUGUUUGAGAAAAGAACAUAGACGAGAAUGAUUAGAGCAUAGGCUUCCUGCAGGAGGCAUUUGGAAAAGGAAAUUAGCCAAAUAAAAGAGGCUUCGGUGUACACUGUGUAGAAAGCUUUUGAACAAGGAAGUGGCAAGCUUAAAGUAAUAAAUAGGGAAGUUUAAUCUGACAUAGUUAAAGGGAAUCCACUGGUCUAAGCCGCCCCGAAAAUGCGAUGCUGGUCUUCAAUCGUGACCACAUCCUCACGCGGAGAUUUUUACGGCCGGACCAUGCUCAAUGAAGAACAAUGCACGGCACUGGCCCAAGUAAAAGGAAAACCAGUGUUUUAGAUAUGAUUCUGUUUUCUCUGUACAGUAAAACUGAACAGCAGAGAAGACUGCUACAGUGCUGCUUGUCAUACCAACUCUGUUUAGCCCUCAUAUUUUCAACAUGAGGUCAAAUGGCAGAAUCUUGAGUCAUCCAGUGAACUGGCUUCUAUCUAAUGACUAAUUCUGGCAUUGAGAAAAAAGACUAAAAAUAUUACUGUGAUCAUAGACAGAAUUUACUUAUUAAGGAGAAUGAGACUUUAGGUUGGUUUCAUAAAAUUACAACAGCACCGUGGUAAUGAAAAGCAGCAACUCCAAGGGUUAAACCACAGAGUAAGAGUUUAACAUCUCAUUGUGAUAUUAGUUUAACACUAGGUAGAGGAUCUAAGUCCCCAACUGACCUAUUUUUGCUAAUCAUAAAUUAAUACAUUCAGACUUUUCUAUAAUAAUUUUCAUUCACCAAAUAUUUAUUGGGCACCUGCUACGUCCAGGGAAUUGAGCCAAGAACAAAGCAGAUGCAGCACCUGUCGGAAGUUGACAUCCCUGCCUGAAGUCCACAUUGCUGAACACUCCUGGGCUUCCAGGAAGCCUCCCUCCAGAGUUCUCCCUGCUUCCAUCAUCACGGUGUCCUCUGCUGACUCCUUUUCUUAAACUUUUCUCUUAAUAGCAGUUGCCCUCAAGCCUCAGCCCUCUUCUUUCCCAAUAUUCUCCCAGAACAAUCUCAUGUAUUCCCAUUUGUUCUGCUUCAUUAAUUCUUUAAAAUUAUAUAUGGAUUACUCUAUACAUGGAUUUCAUAAUUCAAUUUAUAUAUACAUAUACACAUAUAUAUGUGUGUGUUUUACUAUGUGCCAAACACUGUUCUAAGCAUUUUGCAAAUAUUAACACAUGUAACAUAACAACCACGUGCGGUAUAUACUAUUAUUUUAUCCAUUUUCAGAUGAGGAUGCCGUGGCAUAAGCUGAUUAAGAACAUGGCAGAACUAGAACUUGAAACAAAGCAGCCUAUGCCUUAAACCACUGUGCUUUGCACAGUCUGAUGACUUCAACAUACGUGUGCAUACCUCCUAUUCUAUAAAUCACUAAAUCAGAGCUUCCUGUAUUCAGAUUCAUAUUUUCUCCAGAAAGCUGUACCUGAUCUUUCCACAGACAACUCAGAACCAUUGCAUUUGAUUUUGCAAAUUGCUUUUCUUUCGAGCUCUACGUUCUGAGUUCAAGUCUCCUUCAAUUUCCUCUUAUAACAGCUUCCUAACAGGUCUCCCUACCUCGUCAGUUCUCACAGAAUGAUCCAAGAUCAUUUGAGAGUUUUUGAGACUCUUCCCAGGGGUAUACAAAGUCAAAAUUAUUUUCAUAAUAACACUAAGUUAUUUGCCAUUUUCACUGUGUUGAUAUUUGCACUAACGAUGUAAAAAACUGACAGUACAAGUGCUGGAACAAGAAUAAGUCAGUGCUAGUAAAUUAUACUAAAAUAUUAUUGCAUUCUUCACCAUUAUUUAAUAUCUCUGAUGAAGCCGUAAAAAUUCAAAAUCUUGACUCUAGAGUACACAACUUUUAAAUAUUCUGUCGGAUGAAGUUAAAAGUACACAUAAAGUGCUUCUGAUAUACUGAACGAAUGCUUGUCUCAAAGAAAAGCAAUUAUGCGAAUGUUUGAAUUGCAAGCUAAACUUUUAAAAUACAAAAAGAAAAAAAUAAUUUUUUAAAAUACUUUUUCCAUGAAUAUUAGAAAAGUAUAAAAUUCAUCUUAAUUAGGAUAUUAGGAAAAUUCAAAUUUUAGAAAUCUUGUAUCUGAUUCUGUGAACCUGAUUGUUUCCCAAUAUUUAAAGGUUCUUCUGUUGAAGUCUGAUGAUAUUAAUAUAAUAUUUUUAUAUUGAAUACGGAAAUGUUAAUAUCUGGAAGAUUUACAUAACCUAGGAAACUGAUAUUUUUCCAGAAUAUCAGUAUAUGAUGUCACAGAACCAUACAUGGAUAAAAGCUUCAUUUAAGAUGCAAGAUAGUUUUUAAUGCAAAAUGCUAACAAAUAUGUUUCAGAGUCUACCCUGAAACUAAGUUCUAUGAAGCUACUAUUCAUUGAGUUUUGAUUUGUUAUCGGAGAAUAUCCUGCUUACUGGCGUGGAGUUCCUCAUCUGUGACACAAGCCCACUGCAGGAAGAGCACCCACCUGGGCUCCUCUUCUUCCCUCGGCCAGGGGGUUUACAAAGUAAGAACCAUGGAUGCAGACAUGAGGCUCGUGCUGCUGGCGCUGCUGUGAGUAAAGACCCAGGAAUUCCAGGUCAUCUGCCAGCAUCCACGAAACUGCAGCAGGCUAAUGUGUUAGCUUCUGAGUGAGGUAAAACUAUCAGACUAUUCACAGGUCUUGACAAACAGUGAGUGCAGAGGAAAUCUGUGAACUAGAUGGAGUGGUCGUGUGAGUCAUUCCUGGGGAACAGAUGAAAAUGAUUAGGAUGCAGAGGCAAAGAAGACCACUGCUGCUACAGCCACUGAGUGUUGGGCAAGAAUUAAACAAGGGAAAAGUGGGCCUUGAUAAAGUGAAUCUGACUGUGGUAUGCCAAUGGCCAACACAGAGCUGGAAUUAGACCCAAAUACCACCAGCUGCAGCAUCCGGCAUCUGCUGCACGCUUCUGGUGAAGAAGGAGUUACGACAGGGCCACUGACAACUGAAGAAGGUCCUUACGAUCACUGUUGGCAUUUACACAAUGUCCACUGAGUGAACAGCUUUAAACACAUAAACUCACCACACAUGCACAGCAGCCUUGUAAGAUACUACCACUAUUAACACCACUCCACAAAUUAGGAACCCAAGCCAUUCUAAAGAUUAAGUAACUUGCUCAAAGUCACCAAAAACCCCAAACAAGUAAAUGGGAGAGGUAGGACUGGAACCUAGGAAGUCUUUCUCUCAGAAACUAUGUUCUUAAUCAUUAUUCUAUACUUCCUCUUUGGUAAGGUAUGUAUGAUUAUUAUACCCAUUUUGCAGCUAGGUAAAGAAGUACAGCAAAAGUGUUACCUACCCAAAGCAAUAAACCUAGAAAGAGUGGAAACCAAGAGUACUCUGCUCAUUAUAAAAAGAUAAAGACUAUGUGGUCAAUUGUAUACAUUUCAAUUUGCAGGCUUAUUUUGGUUCAACUAAAACCCACUUUUUUUUUUUUUUUUUGUUUGGUACAUUUAUAUAGUGCAACAUGAUUCACACUGCAGUGUUUGUUAGCUAACACCUUUUAUCAUGCCACAGAAUUAUCUUCUAUUUUGUUAAGAACAGUUAAGAUCAAGUCUCUUAGCAGCUUUGAUAAUAGGUGUUGGCGACUAGAAUCACCACGGUGGGCAUUACUCUCCAAAACUUAGUUAUCCGUUAGGUGCACGUUUGUACCUCCAACAACAGCUCCCCGCUCCCCCAACUUCUGGCCGUGGGAACCUCCACUCUCUUCUCUGUCUUUACAAGGUCAGUGUUUCAGAUUCCCCUCUUGCCGGCAUCAGUUUUCAAACUUAAAAUAGUAUCUACUAUUUUUUAAGCACUUGGUUUGGUGUUUUUAUCUGUCUUAGCUAAUUCAGCAAAAUAAGCAUUUGUACACAUACACACACACACACAAACAUACAAACUCACAGAGUUAAGAUAAUUAAAGAAGUGAGGUCUAGAGAGACUGAACAGUGUACCCAAGCUCAUGACCCUUGCAUGUUGUAUAGCCAGAGGUGCCAUCCAGGUCUAUCUGCUUUCCAAGCCUACCUUAUGGCCCUAUUUGG